GACGAACGCUGGCGGCGUGCUUAACACAUGCAAGUCGAACGGAAAGGCCCCUUUGGGGGUACUCGAGUGGCGAACGGGUGAGUAACGCGUGAGUAACCUGCCCUUGACUUCGGGAUAACUUCAGGAAACUGGGGCUAAUACCGGAUAGGAAUCCUUGCUGCAUGGUGGGGGUUGGAAAGCUUCGGCGGUUUUGGAUGGACUCGCGGCUUAUCAGCUUGUUGGUGGGGUAGUGGCUUACCAAGGCUUUGACGGGUAGCCGGCCUGAGAGGGCGACCGGCCACAUUGGGACUGAGAUACGGCCCAGACUCCUACGGGAGGCAGCAGUGGGGAAUAUUGCACAAUGGGCGGAAGCCUGAUGCAGCAACGCCGCGUGCGGGAUGACGGCCUUCGGGUUGUAAACCGCUUUCAGCAGGGGCGAAGCUUGUGGUGACGGUACCUGCAGAAGAAGCACCGGCUAACUACGU
rnacentral:rRNA from 1 species